rnacentral:misc_RNA from 1 species
GUUGAUCCGCGUGAGCGAUUAAGGCGGUAUCCUUGCAGCGCAGCGGAAAGAUAAAGCCGAAAGCGCGGCCUGAG